AACGAACGCUGGCGGCGUGGAUAAGACAUGCAAGUCGAGCGCUAAUUUAAGGGUAGCAAUAUUCUUAAGUUGGAGCGGCGCAAGGGUGCGUAACACGUGGGUAAUUUGCCGGUGAAGUUGGGGAUAACUUGCUGAAAGGCGAGCUAAUACCGAAUGUGACGUUUGGAAGGCAUCUUCUGAACUUCAAAGUUUGGGGACCGCAAGGCCUGACGCUUCACGAUAAGCCCGCGGCCAUCAGCUAGUUGGUGAGGUAAUGGCUCACCAAGGCUAAGACGGGUAGCUGGUCUGAGAGGACGACCAGCCACACUGGGAACUGAGACACGGUCCAGACACCUACGGGUGGCAGCAGUCGAGAAUUUUCNCAAUGGGCGAAAGCCUGAAGGAGCGACG
rnacentral:rRNA from 1 species